AUUGAACGCUGGCGGCGUGCCUAAUACAUGCAAGUCGAACGGAGUGGUGCACGGGUGAGUAAUAUAUAGCUAAUCCGCCCCUUGCUGGAGGACAACCGUUAGAAAUGACUGCUAAUACCCCAUAGCAAGGGAUGAGCCUAUAUCGUAUCAGCUCGUCGGUGGGGUAACGGCCUACCGAGGCGAUGACGCGUAACAGGUCUGAGAGGAUGAUCAGUCACAUUGGAACUGAGGCACGGUCCGAAAUCCGACGGGAGGCAGCAGGAGAGAAGAUUGCGCAAUGGGGGAAACCCUAAGGCAGCAUCGCGACGUGGAGGAUGACAAUUUUCGGAGCGUAAACUCAUUUUGUUAGGAAAGCGGUACCUAACGAAUAAGCACCGGCUAACUCCGUGCCAGCAGCCGCGGUAAUAC
rnacentral:rRNA from 1 species